GGAUAGAAGAGACUGGCAGACCAAAAAAAAAAAAAAGGAUAGAAGAGACUGGAGCAGUGGAAGGCGAUAGGAGAUAUUAUACUGUUGGAAUCGAGAGAGCGGGAGAUGAAGUUCGUCUGCGUUUCGUUUGGAUCGAUCUUGAAAGCUUGGCUAUCGAAGGGGUGUUGUUUGUCCUCGACCUUGGGAUUCGAGUGAUUGAUUGGAAGAGGUUCAAGGUUGUAUGCAAAAGGGUGCCUGGCUUGUUCUUCUGCUACUGUUCCUGAUUCUGUUCUUUGGUCUUAGUUCGGUGUUCUCUUCUGAUUCAGCGUGAAAAAACAAUGAAAAGAGAUAGAUUGAUGGCCUUGCUAUUACAUACAGAGAAAUAUAUGGAAAUGCGCAAGAUUGAUAAUAGACAGCUACAUUUUGCAGGUUGAUAAGGCGAUAGCUUAUGGAUCUGCGAAGCUUGCAGAUUUUGGAUUGGCAAAGAUAACCACCAAAGUGAAUGUAAUUCAAGUUUUGCAGGGGACUGCAUUCUAGAUGGCCCCUGAGGUUUGCCUUCACACUUAUAAUCUUAAUCCAUUUAAACAGUAAAGUCCCCCUGAUAAAUUUCUACUUAUUUAUAAAAUGGUUGAUUUGAUGGUGUUGUAUACUUUUGUCACAUGUUACUUUCUUUGCUACUGUCAAUGGACAUAUUUGAUACUGCCAUUUUCUAUUUAGGUUUAUUUCCCCCCCCCCCCCCCCCCCCCAAGUUCUUAGCAACUUGAUUUGUGAUGAGCAGGUGAGCUUUAAUUUAACAAUGUAAAAUUGAGUGUUUUCCAUUUAUUGAUCAUUUUAUGACUCAUCGUUUUGCAGUGGCUAGAAACUCAUACUAGAGACUGUGUGGUGCCCGAUGUUAAUGGAAAUAGUCAAGUUGACAACUAUGGCUAUGGAGAUCAACGAUUGCAGCAAGUUGUCGAAUCAAAGUAUAUCAUGGAGAAUCCUUCUGCAGAACUGGUUCAUUUGAAAGUGCAAUAAAUGUUAUACAAGAAUACCUGCCUUCAUCUGUUGAGGAACCUAUUGGAGAUCCCCAGAAGCAGAAAUAUGCUUCUAUAGUAUGUACUGAGUUAGCAUUGAGCUGUGGGGAUUCAGCCUUCAUCAGUUAUUUGAAAUACUGCUCUAUUCUUUUGUAACGGAGUCAAAAGCUCCUAUACUUUAUUGUUACAUUUUUUUUUUUUGAAAGGAUCGUUGCAUAUAUUUGAUA